AGGGGGAGAAAGAGAUGAAGUCAUGGAUUGUGGAGAACACAGUCUGUUGGUAGCUAGGCGUGGGGUUGGAGGGUAGAGGGCAGUAGAAGGAGGUGUCUUGAAGUUGGCGGAAAGCUUCAGCCUUGUAGAGGUCUGCGCCCCACACCACCACGGCUCCACCCUUGUCGACCGGUUUUAUGAUAAUAUCUUUGUGGCAUCUGAGACAUCU